AUGCUACAACUUGUUCGCAGGAAUGCAUUUGGUAGGAUGAAAAGAUUCAGAAUGCAUGAUAUCAUACGUGAAUUGGCAGUUGAUUUGUGCCAGAACUAUCGUUUUGGUGUUAAAUCUGAGGAUUAUAUAUGCGGGGGUACUCUUCAUAGGGAUGGACGGAGAUUGGUAGUGCACAAACUAAAGAAGGAUAUUCAUCAUUCAUUUUCUAGCAUACAUGGACUUCGAACUUUCAUUACACUGGACAAAAGCAUGCCGCCAUUAACCCUGCUACCUCUAAUAUCUGAGAAUUCAAGAUAUAUGACAGUGCUAGAAUUAACUGGCCUACCUAUCGAGAAGAUUCCCGAUGCUAUUGGUGAUCUUUUUAAUCUCCGCCAUUUGGGCUUGCGGGAUUCAAAAGUGAGGUAUCUCCCAAAAUCCAUCGAGAAGCUUUUGAAUCUGUUGACACUGGACCUCUGUAGAUCUGACAUACAUGAGUUGCCUAGAGGGAUUGUCAAGUUGAAGAAGCUUAGGCACUUGUUUGCUGAGAAAGAAACUGUGUCAGGACGAGACUUUGGACUUAGCAGUGGUGUAUGCAUCCCCAUUGGGCUUGGGAACCUAACAAACCUGCAGACUCUACAAGCGUUGGAAGUGCAAGAUGAAUCCAUUAAGCAACUAGUGGAGCUAAGGCAACUCAGAAGCUUGAAGAUAUGCAAUGUGAAGGGAAUCUACUGUGAACACCUCCACGAGUCUCUGGUGCAGAUGCCAUUUUUGUCCUACCUAUAUGUGGGUGCAAGUGACAAGAAUGAAGUUCUCAUGUUGAACACCCUCCCGACUAGCCUGCAAAAGUUAAGGUUGAACGGAAGAUUGCCGGAAGGGACACUUUCGAGGGGGUCUACUCUCUUUCAAGGUGUGGAGCAGAACAUGUAUUCACUACGCCUGUCUUGGUCGCAGUUGAGAGAAGACCCUUUGCCAUCCCUUUCCCAGUUGGUGAAUUUGACAGUUCUUCACUUCUUUAGAGCAUACAAUGGAGAGAAGCUGACGUUUCUCACGGGAUGGUUUCCCAACCUGAAGCAUCUCUCUCUAAGAGACAUGCCUAACCUGAAGCGACUAGAGAUAAAGCUAGGUGCCAUGGCGACCCUGGAAUCAUUUACGUUAGGCAGCCUAAACAGCAUGGCGGAGGUCCCACCUGGCCUUGAGUUUCUCAUGCCCCUCCAGUAUCUAGGCUUCUUCCAAAUUACCCGCGACUUCCUCAAGUUGUUGUACCAAUGUCCUCAACUUGUUUGUACGCAAUGGCAACACACUCUCCGCGACGACGACGACGAUGACGACCGGUGA
rnacentral:rRNA from 1 species